UGGUGAAACCCUGUCUCUAAAAUUACAAACAUUUUGUCUCUAAAAAUACAAAAAUUAGCUGGGCAUGAAAAAAGAGAAAACAUAAAUGGCUAAUUAACAAAUAAAAUUGUGUUUCACCUCUAAAAAUAAAAAUAAAACAUAAAAAGUCUUCACCAAACAGUUGGCAUCUUUUGCUCUUCUUCCUUCUACCAGAGGAGAACACAGUAAGAAGGCUGCACCAGAGGCUGUGGUCUUGAUCUUGGACUUAACCUCCAAAACUGAGAAAAUAAAUAUCUGUUCUUUAUAAAUCACCCAAUCUCAGGUACUGUUAUAGCAGCACAAAUGGACUAAGACAGUGACUCCCAAAUUUAUGUCACUAGCUCAGACCUGUCCCCUGAAUUUAGAUUCUUAUAUGUAGUUGCUUCUCAGCCUCAUCUACUUUGGAUACCUAAUAGGCAUCUUAAUAUGUCAUGUCUAAAAAGGAACUUAUGUUUUCUCCGUCCCAAUAUACACUGUCCCUUUCCCAAAUCUUCCCCAUCUCAGUAAAUGGCAAUCCCAUCUUUCUAGUUUGCUUAGGCCAAAGAAUCUUACAGUCAAUUUGAUUUUUCUCUUUCUUACCACAAACUCAAUGCACCAGCAAAUCCUAUUAGCUUUACGUUCAAAAUAUACGAUACCCCGAAUCUGACCACUUCUCACCACUUUCCACUUCUGCUUUCUUCCAGGUUACUCUCAUCUGGAUUAUUGUAGUCACCUUGUCACUGGUAUCUCUGCUUUCUCCUAACCCCCAUCUAAUCUCCAAAAAAUCAGAGCAUGUCACUCCUGGCCCCCAAAUCCCCCCAGUGACUCCGCCCUCCCCACCCUGCUCAGAAUUAAAGUCAAUGAUCUUUUUUUUUUUUUUUUUUGAGAUGGAUUCUUGUGCUGUCACCCAGGCUGGAGUGCAGUAAGUAGUGUGAUCUCAGCUCACUGCAGCCUCCGCCUCCCAGAUUCAAGCGAUUCUCCUGCCUUAGCCUCCUGAGUAGUUGGGAUUACAGGUGCGCACAAUGCCUGGCUAAUUUUUAUAUUGUUAAUAGAGUUGGGGUUUCACCAUGUUGGCCAAGCUGGUCUUGAACUCCUGACCUCAGGUGAUCCACCCACCUUGGCCUCGCAAAGUACUGGGAUUACAGGCAUGAGCCACCAUGCCCAGCCUAAAGUCAAUUAUCUCACCACAGACCACAAGGCUACUUUGAUCCAACCAGCCCAUCUUAUAUACUACCACUUUCCUGUUUUCUCACAGUGCUCCAAUCACACUGGCCUUCUUUCUGGACUUCAAACAUGCCAAAUAUACUCUCCUUGAGGGACAUAGCACUUACUGCUACCUUUGUUUGGAAUGUUCUUUCCCAGAUACCCAUGUGGCACACCCAAAUGCUUGAGUGGCCCCUUAUUAGUGAGGCCUUCCUAUAGCAUUAUAUAUAAGAUGGAUAUAAGGUAGGACUCAGAACAUACUCCCUAUCCUCCUUACUCUACUUCACCUGACUCCAAACACUGUCACCACCUGACGUAGUACAUAUUUUAUUUUUUAUUUGUUUAGCAUCUGUCUGCCUCUAACUAGAAUGCAAGCUCCAUGAGGACAGAGAUUUUUGUUUUGUUUACCGCCAUAUUGUCAGCAGCUAGAGCAAUGUCUGGCAUGUAGUAGCACUCAAUGAAUAUUAAUUGAAUAAAUGAGCUACCUAAAAAAUAACUGCAUUGAUAUCAUAACCCAAGUAGUGUCUGAAAUAAUGUAAUGAAUUACCAGAAUGCAAAUGAAUUAUUUUCCAGAUGUCUUUAAGUUGGGUGUUGGAAAGUCAAUAUGCAUUUUUCCUACAAAUAUAAAGUAAGUGCUGUUAUUAUCCCCAUCUUAUGGAUAAGACAUCUGAUAUUUAGCUUAUGCAACUAUGCCUGUUUUCUGAUUUUGAGGCAUGUACCUCACCACUUAUACUAAAUUUCCAGGUCAGAUCAUAAAACCUUACGUAAGCCAUAAAAUUCAGAUAUAAAGUAGUCUAAAAAAAGGAAGGACCAGAAUGGAAGAUACCUAUCUUACACACAAACAGCUGUAUCUAGAGUAUAGGCUUCUUAGCUUUCUAGAUGUUUCACCCAGUUAUAGCUGUUCUUUGAUAGUGAUACAGUGAUAGAGGCAGGAGGCAGAGAAAUUCUAGGCAGAUGGGAAGAUCCCUGGCAAAGCACCACCCUAAAGCUGAAAAGCUUGAAACCACUGCCUAAAGUGAGAACUUAUAUUCCCGUUUUCCUGCUUGAAUGUUGUCUUUUCCUAAACUACCCAUAGCCUGCCCCACCCUAUCUUGUGCCUAUAAAGACCCCAGACUCAGCCAGCAGAGGGGAGAAACAGCUGGACAUCAGAGAGAAGCAGCCGGACUUCAGAGGGACAGCUUGAUGACAUAACUUUGGAGAAGAAUGCAGCCAGAGAUGGGUGGACUCCAGGGAAAGAUUACCUGCCGCCCCACCCUCUUUUCAGCUCCCCUUCCUGCUGAGAGCCACUUUCAUCGGCAAUAAAAUACACUGCAU
rnacentral:lncRNA from 1 species